rnacentral:rRNA from 1 species
AUUGCGAAUGGGCGCAGCCUGACGCAGCAACGCCGCGUGGGUGAUGAAGCUCCUUGGAGUGUAAAACCCUGUCAGUGGGGAAGAAACGCGCGGGGAGUAACUGCCCUGCGCCUGACGGUACCCACAGAGGAAGCACCGGCUAACUCCGUGCCAGCAGCCGCGGUAAUACGGGGGGUGCAAGCGUUGUUCGGAUUUACUGGGCGUAAAGGGCGCGUAGGUGGACCUUCAAGUCGGGUGUGAAAACUGGCGGCUUAACCGCCAGCUUGCAUUCGAUACUGUCGGUCUUGAGUACAGCAGAGGAAAGCGGAAUUCCAGGUGUAGCGGUGAAAUGCGUAGAUAUCUGGAAGAACACCAGAAGCGAAGGCGGCUUUCUGGGCUGAUACUGACGCUGAAGCGCGAAGGCCAGGGGAGCAAACAGGAUUAGAUACCCUGGUAGUCCUGGCGGUAAACGAUGGGCACUAGGUGUCGGGGGUAUCGACCCCCCCGGUGUCGAAGCUAACGCAUUAAGUGCCCCGCCUGGGGAGUACGAUCGCAAGGUUGAAACUCAAAGAAAUUGACGGA